rnacentral:rRNA from 1 species
CCUACGGGGGGCAGCAGUGGGGGAUAUUGCACAAUGGGGGAAACCCUGAUGCAGCGACGCCGCGUGGGCGAAGAAGUAUUUCGGUAUGUAAAGCCCUAUCGGCAGGGAAGAAGGAGGACGGUACCUGACUAAGAAGCCCCGGCUAACUACGUGCCAGCAGCCGCGGUAAUACGUAGGGGGCAAGCGUUAUCCGGAUUUACUGGGUGUAAAGGGGGCGCAGACGGCAGCGCAAGCCAGGAGUGAAAGCCCGGGGCCCAACCCCGGGACUGCUCUUGGAACUGCGCGGCUGGAGUGCAGGAGGGGCAGGCGGAAUUCCUGGUGUAGCGGUGAAAUGCGUAGAUAUCAGGAGGAACACCGGUGGCGAAGGCGGCCUGCUGGACUGCGACUGACGUUGAGGCCCGAAAGCGUGGGGAGCAAACAGGAUUAGAUACCCUGGUAGUC